rnacentral:rRNA from 1 species
UACAGAGGGUGCGAGCGUUGUCCGGAAUCACUGGGCGUAAAGGGCGCGUAGGUGGCGACCCAAGUCGAUGGUGAAAGCUCGCCGCUCAACGGCGAGUCGGCCACCGAUACUGGGUUGCUGGAGCACUGGUAGAGGCAGAUGGAAUUCCGGGUGGUAGCGGUGGAAUGCGUGAGAGAGUCCGGAAGAACACCGGUGGCGAAGGCGGUCUGCUGGGCAGUUGCUGACACUGAGGCGCGGACAGCGUGGGGAGCAAACAGG